rnacentral:rRNA from 1 species
CAGCCGCCGCGGGAAUACGGAGGGUGCAAGCGUUAUCCGGAUUUAUUGGGUUUAAAGGGUCCGUAGGCGGAUCUGUAAGUCAGUGGUGAAAUCUCACAGCUUAACUGUGAAACUGCCAUUGAUACUGCAGGUCUUGAGUAAAUUUGAAGUGGCUGGAAUAAGUAGUGUAGCGGUAAAAUGCAUAGAUAUUACUUAGAACACCAAUUGCGAAGGCAGGUCACUAAGAUUUAACUGACGCUGAUGGACGAAAGCGUGGGGAGCGAACAGGAUUAGAUACCCCUGUAGUCCCUGUCUCUUAUAC